GUGCUGCAGAAAUUAGAAACAGAAAGGAUCAUGUCUUAAACAGAUCUCAGCUGGUUUGGGAAGGGUGACACCUGUUACUCUGCUUUUGCACCAGCAUGAGAUUUCACCCCUGAAGUCUCCCAUAAACUGUGACCUUUUCCUGUCAAUGAAGUGUUUUCUGAAAAGGCAUUCUGGUUUUGAAGAGAACAAAGCCCUGUGCUAUCCAGUGAUACAAGAUGAACCAAAGAUACACAGGCAUUCUGCAGUUCACAGAAGUUCCAGAUGUGUGAAAUCAAACCAAGACAAAGGAAGGACCCAAUCCAGAAAUCAGAUUUACAUAGACUGAGGUACAGCAAUAUGAAAACCAUGGAGUUGCAGUAACAAAAAGAUACUCUGGAUAAAAAGAGAGUAUUACUAUCAGAGAUGGCAAUAUUUAAGA